rnacentral:rRNA from 1 species
AGAACGAACGCUGGCGGCAUGCCUAACACAUGCAAGUCGAACGAGACCUUCGGGUCUAGUGGCGCACGGGUGCGUAACGCGUGGGAAUCUGCCCUUAGGUACGGAAUAACAGUGAGAAAUUACUGCUAAUACCGUAUGAUGUCUUCGGACCAAAGAUUUAUCGCCUAGGGAUGAGCCCGCGUUGGAUUAGCUAGUUGGUGGGGUAAAGGCCUACCAAGGCGACGAUCCAUAGCUGGUCUGAGAGGAUGAUCAGCCACGCUGGGACUGAGACACGGCCCAGACUCCUACGGGAGGCAGCAGUGGGGAAUAUUGGACAAUGGGCGAAAGCCUGAUCCAGCAAUGCCGCGUGAGUGAAGAAGGCCUUAGGGUUGUAAAGCUCUUUUACCCGGGAAGAUAAUGACUGUACCGGGAGAAUAAGCCCGGCUAACUCCGCGCCAGCAGCCGC